GAUGAACGCUGGCGGCGUGCCUAAUACAUGCAAGUCGAGCGAACAGAUGAGGAGCUUGCUCCUCUGACGUUAGCGGCGGACGGGUGAGUAACACGUGGAUAACCUACCUAUAAGACUGGGAUCACUUCGGGAAACCGGAUCUAAUACCGGAUAAUAUAUUGAACCGCAUGGUUCAAUAGUGAAAGACGGUUUUGCUGUCACUUAUAGAUGGAUCCGCGCCGCAUUAGCUAGUUGGUAAGGUAACGGCUUACCAAGGCAACGAUGCGUAGCCGACCUGAGAGGGUGAUCGGCCACACUGGAACUGAGACACGGUCCAGACUCCUACGGGAGGCAGCAGUAGGGAAUCUUCCGCAAUGGGCGAAAGCCUGACGGAGCAACGCCGCGUGAGUGAUGAAGGUCUUCGGAUCGUAAAACUCUGUUAUUAGGGAAGAACAAAUGUGUAAGUAACUAUGCACGUCUUGACGGUACCUAAUCAGAAAGCCACGGCUAACUACGUG
rnacentral:rRNA from 1 species